rnacentral:rRNA from 1 species
CCUACGGGGGGCUGCAGUGGGGAAUAUUGGACAAUGGGCGAAAGCCUGAUCCAGCCAUGCCGCGUGUGUGAAGAAGGCCUUCGGGUUGUAAAGCACUUUCAGUGGGGAAGAAAGCCUUGGGGCUAAUACCCUCGAGGAAGGACAUCACCCACAGAAGAAGCACCGGCUAACUCCGUGCCAGCAGCCGCGGUAAUACGGAGGGUGCGAGCGUUAAUCGGAAUUACUGGGCGUAAAGCGCGCGUAGGUGGUCUGAUAAGCCGGUUGUGAAAGCCCCGGGCUCAACCUGGGAACGGCAUCCGGAACUGUCAGGCUAGAGUGCAGGAGAGGAAGGUAGAAUUCCCGGUGUAGCGGUGAAAUGCGUAGAGAUCGGGAGGAAUACCAGUGGCGAAGGCGGCCUUCUGGACUGACACUGACGCUGAGGUGCGAAAGCGUGGGUAGCAAACAGGAUUAGAUACCCUAGUAGUC